AUGGCUGUCGUCAGCUCGUGUCGUGAGAUGUUGGGUUAAGUCCCGCAACGAGCGCAACCCUUGCCAAUAAUUGCCAUCAUUUAGUUGGGCACUUUAUUGGGACUGCCGGUGACAAACCGGAGGAAGGUGGGGAUGACGUCAAGUCCUCAUGGCCCUUAUGGCCAGGGCUUCACACGUAAUACAAUGGUCGGUACAGAGGGUCGCCAACCCGCGAGGGGGAGCAAAUCCCAGAAAGCCGAUCGUAGUCCGGAUUGUUCUCUGCAACUCGAGAGCAUGAAGUCGGAAUCGCUAGUAAUCGCGGAUCAGAAUGUCGCGGUGAAUACGUUCCCGGGCCUUGUACACACCGCCCGUCACACCAUGGGAGUGGGUUUUACCAGAAGUAGGUAGUCUAACCUUCGGGGGGACGCUUACCACGGUAGUAUUCAUGACUGGGGUGAAGUCGUAACAAGGUAGCCGUAUCGGAAGGUGCGGCUGGAUCACCUCCUUUCUAGAGACUUUGUCUCGAUUGCAAGCAUUCACACUUAUCAGUCGUUCAGUAUUCAGCAGCAUCAAAGAUUGGCCAACAUUAGCGGAGACGUUAAUUGAACCUUUAAUUAGGGUCUGUAGCUCAGCUGGUUAGAGCACCGUGUUGAUAACGCGGGGGUCGAUGGUUCGAGUCCAUCCAGACCCACCAGAUAUCGCCUUAUAGGGGGAUUAGCUCAGCUGGGAGAGCACCUGCUUUGCAAGCAGGGGGUCAGCGGUUCGAUCCCGCUAUCCUCCACCAACCUUUGAUUAGUAGUAAAACCUAGAAGCAAGUCUUGUGAUGUAAUUUGAUCACAACAUUUUCUUCUAGCUUUUUAGCUAGACUGUUCUUUAACAAAAUGGAAGAAGUAAAGAUGAUAAUUAAGUUGUGAUGACUUGAUUAUCGUAAUGGGCAAUAUUGUUCUUAGUCGGACAAUAUUGAUUGAUUGCAAAAUCGAAAAUCAUUUCACUUUGUUGAAUUUGAUUGAACGUAAGUUUGAUUGAAGACAAUUAAAGUUGAAAUAAACAAACCAAUCAUUAUUUGUAGUUUGAAUAAUGAUGAAGUUGCUUUAGAAAACCUAUAGCUGGUGUCUCAUGCACCACGAAAUUUGAAUUUAAAAAGGGUUCAGGUUUUAACGUUAUAGGGUCAAGUGAAUAAGUGCAUAUGGUGGAUGCCUUGGCGAUUACAGGCGAUGAAGGACGUGAUAAUCUGCGAAAAGUUUCGGGGAGCUGAUAAAUAAGCUUUGAUCCGGAAAUAUCCGAAUGGGGAAACCCGG
rnacentral:sRNA from 1 species